GUGGGUGAUCUGCCCUGCACUUCGGGAUAAGCCUGGGAAACUGGGUCUAAUACCGGAUAUACCUCAUUGGCUGCAUGGUCGGUGGGGGAAAGCUUUUGCGGUGUGGGAUGGGCCCGCGGCCUAUCAGCUUGUUGGUGGGGUGAUGGCCUACCAAGGCGUCGACGGGUAGCCGGCCUGAGAGGGUGUCCGGCCACACUGGGACUGAGAUACGGCCCAGACUCCUACGGGAGGCAGCAGUGGGGAAUAUUGCACAAUGGGCGCAAGCCUGAUGCAGCGACGCCGCGUGGGGGAUGACGGCCUUCGGGUUGUAAACCCCUUUCAGCACAGACGAAGCGCAAGUGACAGUAUGUGCAGAAGAAGCACCGGCCAACUACGUGCCAGCAGCCGCGGUAAUACGUAGGGUGCGAGCGUUGUCCGGAAUUACUGGGCGUAAAGAGCUUGUAGGUGGUUUGUCGCGUUGUUCGUGAAAUCUCACGGCUUAACCGUGAGCGUGCGGGCGAUACGGGCAGACUAGAGUACUGCAGGGGAGACUGGAAUU
rnacentral:rRNA from 1 species